UUUCAUGUCAGAGACCGAGAACUCUUGCAGUCGUUUAUGUCAUCCCUUCUUCUCCAGACAGAAUAUACCAAAAAGUUGCAAUCAAAGAUCUCUUCAUCUUAUUGAUAAAGUCACUAAUAAGCCAAAAUGUCUGUCAACAUCAACUGCAGCGUUUCAGACCAGUUCUAUCGCUACAAGAUGCACCGUCUGAUUGCCAAGGUUGAAGGCAAAGGAAAUGGAAUCAAGACAGUUGUAGUCAACACGGUUGACGUUGCAAAGGCGCUUAAUCGGCCUCCAACUAUCCCACCAAAUACUUUGGUUGUGAGCUGGGAGCACAGACCCAGUUUGAUGUAAAGACUGACCGGUACAUUGUCAUUGGAUGAUCUCAUGAGGUGAAUAAGGUGCAAGACAUGUUGGAUGGAUUCAUUAAAAAUUUUGUUCUCUGUCCCUGAGUGUGAGAAUCCUGAAACAGAUGUGCAUGUGAAUCCGAAGAAACAAACAAUAGGUAAUUCUUGUAAAGCCUGAGGCUAAAGAGGCAUGCUUGACACACAUCAUGAACUCUGCACAUUCAUUCUCGAAAAUCCACCUGAGAAUAGUGACAGUAGUACAGGAAGGAAGAAAAGGAAACGAAAAACAGAAAAGGCGAAGACAAGGCAAAUGGCUCAGUGUCCAGCAGUGAGACCCCACCCCCGCUACCCCUAAGUGAAAUGAGCCCGCCCCUCGGGCUGUGGAGGAGGAGGAGGACGAUGACCCGGGUGAGGACACAACUGAGAAGGCGCAAUGGCGGCGCAGGAUGAAAUCAGUGACCACGCCAAAGUCGUGACGCUCAGUGACGAUCUGGAAAGAAUUGUAGAAGAGCGUGUGAAUAUCCUGUUUGAUUUUGUUAAGAAAAAGAAAGAAGAGGGCAUUAUUGACUCAUUUGACAAAGAAAUUGUUGCUGAAGCAGAAAGACUAGAUGUAAAAGCCAUGGGCCCUCCUGUUCUGGCUGAAGUUCUUUUUAAUGAGAAGAUUAGAGAACAAAUUAAGAAAUACAGGUGUCAUUUCCUCAGCGGUGCCUUCUUCAUGGUUUGGCGUGUGUGGUGGCCGUGCAUCAGGCUCGCCUCCUCUCCAAGAUCCCGCACAUCUCGGAGGAGAUGUAUGAGGCAGACCUGUUGGAAGAGGAGGUUGUCAUCAGCUGGUCAGAAAAGGCCUCUAAGAAGUCCGUUUCGAAAGAACUUGCCAAAGAGAUUCGUGUCAAAGCGGAGCCAUUUAUAAAAUGGCUGAAGGAGGCAGAGGAAGACUCUUCCGGUGGUGAAGAUGAGGAGGAGGAGGAGGAUGAAAACUCUGAGGUGGUUCAUUCAAAAACUGCCAGCAUGGGGAAGGCUGAAACUGUGAAGUCGGAAAACAAGGAUGACGACAUUGAUAUCGAUGCUAUUUAAG